UCCCAGACAAGGAGCCAACGCCACCU
rnacentral:piRNA from 1 species